rnacentral:rRNA from 1 species
CCCUUAGACGUUCUGGGCCGCACGCGCGCUACACUGACCAGUGCAACAAGCAUCCGUCCUUGGCCGACAGGCUCGGGCAAUCUUUGAACGCUGGUCGUGAUGGGGAUAGACUUUUGCAAUUUUUGGUCUUCAACGAGGAAUUCCUAGUAAACGCAAGUCAUCAACUUGCAUUGAUUACGUCCCUGCCCUUUGUACACACCGCCCGUCGCACCUACCGAUUGAAUGGUCCGGUGAAGCCUCCGGAUUGGCGCGCACCUCGGUGCCGCCGAGAAGUUGGCUAAACCUUACCACCUAGAGGAAGGAGAAGUCGUAACA